UACAGAGGGGGCAAGCGUUGUCCGGAAUUAUUGGGCGUAAAGAGCUCGUAGGCGGCCAGUUGCGUCUGCUGUGAAAUCCCGGGGCUCAACCCCGGGCGUGCAGUGGAUACGGGCUGGCUAGAGGCAGGCAGGGGAGAACGGAAUUCCCGGUGUAGCGGUGAAAUGCGCAGAUAUCGGGAGGAACACCGGUGGCGAAGGCGGUUCUCUGGGCCUGUACUGACGCUGAGGAGCGAAAGCGUGGGGAGCGAACAGG
rnacentral:rRNA from 1 species